UUUUACUUUCUAUUUUAAGGUGCAAACACUUUGUUGCCAACAGUUUCGCCAAUCACUGACAGUUUUUGCUUGUUGCACAUUUGGUUUACUUUUACAGUAUAGUAUUGGAGAGUGAAGACCUUACCAAUGUACGGGAACCCAAAGGACUGGGUAAAGUUAAUGACGUUCGGUGUUUUGGAAGUGACCGACUGUUUGGAAUCUGAAUCAUCUGGGAAAUUGUGGCAUGCAUGUUUGAGUUAAACCCCUGCAAGGUCAGGACAGUUUGUGCAGUGUCCACCCUCCCGAGAGAAAAGGACAAUUUAAAAUGACUAAUUAACCUACCAACCGGUACGCCUUUGGACUGGAAGAGGAAAAACUGGAGCAUCCGGACGGAACCCAUGUGGGCGCUGGGAGAACGUACAAAUUCCUUACAGACAGUGACAGGAAAAAAUGAAUCUCAGGGAAGUAUACACAAUGUGAUGUGCCAUUACUUUCUUCUGGGCUGUGUCUUCACAAGACGGGUGACCUCAGCCAUUAUCAAUAUUCUUCAGAGGUUGUCUGCCUGGCGUCAGUGGUCGCAUAACCAGGACCUGUGAUCUGCACCAUCUGCUCAUAUGACCAUCCACCACCUGCUCCCAUGGCCUCACGUGACCCUGAUUGGGGGGCUAAGCAGGUGCUACACCUUGCCCAAGGGUGACCUGCAGGGUAGUGGAAGGAAGGAUCACCUUACACCUCCUUUGGUAGAGGUGUAUCUCCAUCCCGCCAUCCCUAUAACUUCCAUAUAGAUCAUCUCAUUACAACAGUGCAUUGAGGCUGGCCAAGGGGAAACAAUCACAGAAUGAAGAAAUAACGUAUAGCAGUUAUUGAGAAGGUGCUGUGCAGGUAGACAAUGAUCCGCAAGGCCGUAAUGAGUUAGGUUGUGAGGUUAAGAAUCACUCAUCAAACCAGGGAUUUCAGUCCAUUUGUGUGAUAUGUGUUCACAAGCUUUUGGAUCUUCUGCCCAAUAUGGGAGGGGAAAAGAGAGAAUGACUGAGGUUGGACGGGCCCUUGAUCACAUUGCCUGCUUCCCCGAGCCAGCACAAAGUGUGAACAGAGUCAAAGGAGAGGAGACAGCUUCUCCCCAUGGAUUGGGCUGUGUUCUCAUCUCUGCAAUUUCUUGCUGUCUAGGGCAGAAUUACUGCAAUACCAAGCCAUGAUGAAUCUGGAUAAGAUGGGUUUUUUUUUGUGAAACAAACUUCCCAUGAAUUUGGCCAACUUUUUUCCCUUUCUUAAGAUACUUCAUAAAACAUAGAUCAAACUUUUAAUUAUCCUGGAUAGUACAAGGCUGAGUAUUUAAUUUUGUUUUGAUAAUGAUUCUGCAGAACACCUUGGGACAUUUUAAAUACUUUGAUAACGCAUGCCAGUCUCUUAUGUUCUUGUUGUCAGUCUGUAAUUAAUCUGCUAUGUAACAGAUAACGACUCUGUAGAUUCUUUUCAAUCAGGAAGGUAAACAUUUGCAUUUUAAUUAAAUGUUUCCAUCAUUAAUUAACAAGAUUUCAAUGCCUGCUUCCAAUUAAUAUCAAUGAUAAUAUCAAAAUCACAUAAUCAUUUUGCUUUUUAUAUUAUUACUUUUAAGGAUCUUUCCAGUAACUUUG